rnacentral:rRNA from 1 species
GAUGAACGCUGGCGGCGUGCCUAAUACAUGCAAGUCGAGCGAACGGACGAGAAGCUUGCUUCUCUGAUGUUAGCGGCGGACGGGUGAGUAACACGUGGAUAACCUACCUAUAAGACUGGGAUAACUUCGGGAAACCGGAGCUAAUACCGGAUAAUAUUUUGAACCGCAUGGUUCAAAAGUGAAAGACGGUCUUGCUGUCACUUAUAGAUGGAUCCGCGCUGCAUUAGCUAGUUGGUAAGGUAACGGCUUACCAAGGCAACGAUGCAUAGCCGACCUGAGAGGGUGAGGGGCCACGGGAGAACGGGAACACGGACAAGGCCCAGACGGGGGGCGGCGGGAGGGACUCGGCGGAAUGGGGCGAAGGCGGGAGGGAGCAGCAGCGAGGGAGUGUGGGGGUUUUCGGGCUGGGAGUUUUUUUUUACUGGGGAAAAAGAGUAGGGUACGUAGUUGGGCAGUUCUUGACGGUACUUGAAGAAGAAGCCCCGGCUAACUACGUG